GAUUAAUUAGUCCAAUGAAAGACUUCUGAUUUCGGCUCAGAAAACCCUGGAUCAAGUCCAUGAUUAAUCU
rnacentral:tRNA from 1 species